AACGAGGUCUAAUACCGGAUACGACACUGGAUCGCAUGAUCUGGUGUGGAAAGUUCCGGCGGUAUGGGAUGGACCCGCGGCCUAUCAGCUUGUUGGUGGGGUAAUGGCCUACCAAGGCGACGACGGGUAGCCGGCCUGAGAGGGUGACCGGCCACACUGGGACUGAGACACGGCCCAGACUCCUACGGGAGGCAGCAGUGGGGAAUAUUGCACAAUGGGCGAAAGCCUGAUGCAGCGACGCCGCGUGAGGGAUGACGGCCUUCGGGUUGUAAACCUCUUUCAGCAGGGACGAAGCGCAAGUGACGGUACCUGCAGAAGAAGCACCGGCUAACUACGUGCCAGCAGCCGCGGUAAUACGUAGGGUGCGAGCGUUGUCCGGAAUUAUUGGGCGUAAAGAGCUCGUAGGCGGUUUGUCGCGUCGGCCGUGAAAACUUGGGGCUUAACUCCAAGCUUGCGGUCGAUACGGGCAGACUUGAGUUCGGCAGGGGAGACUGGAAUUCCUGGUGUAGCGGUGAAAUGCGCAGAUAUCAGGAGGAACACCGGUGGCGAAGGCGGGUCUCUGGGCCGAUACUGACGCUGAGGAGCGAAAGCGUGGGGAGCGAACAGGAUUAGAUACCCUGGUAGUCCACGCCGUAAACGGUGGGUGCUAGGUGUGGGGGGCUUCCACGCCCUCUGUGCCGCAGCUAACGCAUUAAGCACCCCGCCUGGGGAGUACGGCCGCAGGC
rnacentral:rRNA from 1 species